UACGUAGGUGGCAAGCGUUGUCCGGAUUUACUGGGCGUAAAGGGCGCGCAGGCGGCUUUGUUUGUCAGGCGUGAAAGCCCCGGGCUUAACCUGGGAACUGCGUUUGAUACGGCAGGGCUAGAGUUCGGGAGAGGAGAGUGGAAUUCCCAGUGUAGAGGUGAAAUUCGUAGAUAUUGGGAAGAACACCGGUGGCGAAGGCGGCUCUCUGGACCGAGACUGACGCUGAGGCGCGAAAGCUGGGGGAGCGAACAGG
rnacentral:rRNA from 1 species